CUCCCGGCAGCGCCGGCCCCGCCCGCACGGGGUCGCGUGGCGGCCCGCACGUCCGAGUCCGCCCAUGAGCGCGGGUUGGAUUCUCGGUCUUUCUUGCAACCGGGCGGGGGUCGGAGAGGUGUACGCGGCCGUCAUGUGUGUGGCUUUGGCUCCUGCCCAGCCUUCCUUUUCUGCUCGGUUCCCUGCAGUCAGUUGCCCAGACCGCUCCCGAGUAUCUCCAAGGAUGGAGACUCCAUAAUCUCUCUAAUCGCCCUAUGCCACUGCUCCGACAGCCUGGUAUUUCGAAGGAGUCUCCCGUGUUUCUUUUUGUGUCUAUUGUCUCUUGUCCUGUCACCACGCACUACUGAGAAGAACCUGCCUCUGUCUUCACACCUCCCCUAGUGAUGAACUUCGCUGAACUCUCCAUGGCAGCGGGGAGCCCAGAGCUGCAGGCGGGUGGCAGGCCAUGGCCUCAGCAGUGCUGAGGGGAGGCUCCCGUCCCUGAACCUCUCCAGGACAGGCAGGGCCACAGCAGGGGCUCGGCUUCAACUCAGGGUCCGGCAGAGCCCUCAGGUGCUCCUCCACAGAGCUGUUCUUCAGCAGGUUGGCCCCCGUGUGUCCUGGUUAUUUCUCCCCAACUGCAGGACAUUGCAUGUCUUUUUGCUGAAUUUCAUGAUGUUCCUGUCAGCCCAUCUUUCCAUCCUGUUGAAAGAUUGAAUUAAAUUUAAAGAUUCAAGUGA